GCGCCUGUAGCUCAUCGGAUAGAGCGGCUCGGUCCUAACGAGACGGCAGUGGGUUCAAUUCCCUCCAGGCGUA
rnacentral:tRNA from 1 species